UCCUCGAUGGCUCAAUCGGACAGAGCGUCUGCCUUGUGAGCAGAUCCCGGGUUCGAGUCCCGGUCGGGGCA